rnacentral:rRNA from 1 species
CACCAGCUCUUCAAGUGGUUGGGACUUUUAUUGGGCUUAAAGCGUCCGUAGCCUGUUUGAUAAGUUCCUGGUUAAAUCCGGCAGCUUAACUGUUGGAAUGCUAGGAAUACUGUCUUACUAGAGGGCGGGAAAGGUCAGGGGUACUCCGGGGGGGAGCGGUGAAAUGUGAUAAUCCUCGGGGGACCACCAGUGGCGAAGGCGCCUGACUGGAACGCGCCUGACGGUGAGGGACGAAAGGUAGGGGAACGAACGGGAUUAGAUACCCCGGUAGUCCCACCCGUAAACGAUGCGCUCUAGAUGUCGGUUCUGCUCCGAGCAGUGCCGGUGCCACAGGGAAACCGUUAAGAGCGCCGCCUGGGAAGUACGCUCGCAAGAGUGAAACUUAAAGGAAUUGGACGGGGGAGCACCACAAGGGGUGAAGCCUGCGGUUU